CCUGAGAAAUCCAAAAGUUCGAAUGGAGAGAUUCAGCGUCAGUGGUCGCUGGCUUGCGUGUUGUCGCGAUGCUCGGGCGUGCUAGAUGCCUUCGGGUGUUUGGCGCGACCGUGGCACGCGAUUGCUGCGUCAUGUCCGGCGUCAUCGGCGUGCACUUCUCUCCUAGUAGGACGUCGCGACCCGUUGGGUGUCGAUCAACGGCCCGUACGAUAGUCUGUCGCGCUCCGGCGCGUCAGAUCCUCGGUGCUUGUUUUAACCCGAUCGACUGCCCGACGGUAUUGAAUGCUUUUUACAAUCAAGAUUGGUAUCGAGCCGCAAUUUCGAAUGCGUUCGGCUUGUCGAUCGUUCGGGGUCUCGCUCGGAUUUAACGGACCCAGUUCCGUUGCCGUGCGCCUGGCUCUAUCGUUCGACAAUGUCCUCGAACUGGCUCCGGGAAGGAGGGCCUCGCGUCCAAAUUCCCACACACUUACCGGUCAGCGACGCUUUUGCUUUGGAUACUUUCAGG
rnacentral:rRNA from 1 species